AAUUUACAAACAAUGGAACGAAAUGCAAUGAAAAAAAAACGAAAAACCUUCUCGAACAGACGGUAUCGACAUGAGUGGUCCAUCUUGCUGGAAUUGGACCUCCUGCUGACUGCAUUUUGGCCGUCCUUUAUCUACAAAAUCCGCCAAAAGACUAGAUAGAGAUCGAUUGUGGACGUUAUGGGGCAUAUACCUGUUUUUGACUGGUGAUAUCCAGGACGACAGCGCCGGCAUUCCAGCUUUCCAUUGCUGGCCGAAACAUCAGCGCAGAUGCAGCCUUCUGGACAACUGCUGGAAUCUAUUAUGCGUAAGUUU